CGGAUGUCAUCCAUAUCAACUUUCGAUGCCAGUUUCUGCACCUACCAUGGUGACCACGGGUAACGUGGAAUAAGGGUACCAUUCUGUAUUACAUACAGGGACCCUGAGAAACGGCUACCACAUGCAAGUAAGGCAGCAGACGCUUAAAUGACCCACUCCUGACGCGGGAAGGUAGUGA
rnacentral:rRNA from 1 species